rnacentral:rRNA from 1 species
CCCUUAGAUGUUCUGGGCCGCACGCGUGCUAUACUGAGUGGAUCAGCGGGUCAGGUUGCGCGAAAGCGUUUCCUAAUCUUUAAAUCCGCUCGUGAUGGGGAUUGACGGUUGCAAUUUUCUGUCAUGAACGAGGAAUACCUUGUAAGCGUGGGUCAUCACCCCGCGCUGAAUACGUCCCUGCCCUUUGUACACACCGCCCGUCGCUCCUACCGAUUGAGUGGUCCGGUGAGGCUUUGGGAUCUGAGCGGAAAGAGCGUUUCGCUGUUUCUGCUCGGAAAACUCAGUCGAACCUUAUCAUUUAGAGGAAGGAGAAGUCGUAACA